GGGGAUUGCCUUAGAUACGGCGAGUGAAGCGGCAAAAGCUCAAAUUUGAAAUCUGGUACCUUCGGUGCCCGAGUUGUAAUUUGGAGAGGGCAACUUUGGGGCCGUUCCUUGUCUAUGUUCCUUGGAACAGGACGUCAUAGAGGGUGAGAAUCCCGUGUGGCGAGGAGUGCGGUUCUUUGUAAAGUGCCUUCGAAGAGUCGAGUUGUUUGGGAAUGCAGCUCUAAGUGGGUGGUAAAUUCCAUCUAAAGCUAAAUAUUGGCGAGAGACCGAUAGCGAACAAGUACAGUGAUGGAAAGAUGAAAAGAACUUUGAAAAGAGAGUGAAAAAGUACGUGAAAUUGUUGAAAGGGAAGGGCAUUUGAUCAGACAUGGUGUUUUGUGCCCUCUGCUCCUUGUGGGUAGGGGAAUCUCGCAUUUCACUGGGCCAGCAUCAGUUUUGGUGGCAGGAUAAAUCCAUAGGAAUGUAGCUUGCCUCGGUAAGUAUUAUAGCCUGUGGGAAUACUGCCAGCUGGGACUGAGGACUGCGACGUAAGUCAAGGAUGCUGGCAUAAUGGUUAUAUGCCGCCCGUCUUGAACCACGGACCAAAG
rnacentral:rRNA from 1 species